rnacentral:lncRNA from 1 species
AUUGGUGUUGGGGUAGAUCCUUCCCUGGUCUUCCACGACUUGUAGAAGACAUUGAAGUUGUGAAUAGUCAUUUUUUAUUAACCUACUAUAUUCUGUGAUGGGCGUCAUUCCUCUUUCAGCAAUAACAUUGGCCAUUGCGUACGUGGAGCAAAUCAACUUUUUUUCAACUUCUAAACACUAUCAGGGAGCUUCAAAAUUUUCUGAGCUUUUUUUUGACUUCUUCGUGACAAAUUAAACUUACUCUAUCAUCGAAGAAAGUGAGUUGAAGGAGUUCCUCCAACAAAUACCAUAAAUGCUUAGAAAAUUUGCAAGAAGUAGAUUUGUAAAUAUGUUUAUUAAUUGAAGAAUAUUCGAUUAACAACUUAAUUAGAUCGUUCAAAGGAGAAUUUGAGGCCGGAGAUGCAUUUACUCAAGUUUUGAUACAUAAUCUUACUAUGAAAACACAAACAUCACGUAAUCCUUGUUCUUCCCUUGGAGUCAAUUAGAAUUAUAAUCUCAAUAUCCAAAUCUUGGGACUAUAUAUCACUUUUUGAAAGCCAAAAGACACGGUGCAUUGCACCAGGCGACAUGAACUUAACUCCACACUCAGAGGGAAUCGCCAAGAAAUAUAAUUAAUAGUUUUAAUAAUUACAUAUUAUCGUCUCUUUAAUAUAAUUUUUAAGAUUGUCUCUUAGAAAUUCAAUAUUACAAUCCGGUAUGCCUUCCAAAAGACUGACCACCUCUUCAUCUGCAGUUCCAGGUUUAUAGUUAGUUUUCUUGAUCGAUGGCCAAUUUUGUUUGAACAUAGGAAUAUCUGGUGAAAUCAU